rnacentral:rRNA from 1 species
CGAGUGGCGAACGGGUGAGUAAUACAUCGGAACGUGUCCGCUCGUGGGGGGACAACCAGCCGAAAGGUUGGCUAAUACCGCAUGAGUUCUACGGAAGAAAGAGGGGGACCCGCAAGGGCCUCUCGCGAGCGGAGCGGCCGAUGACUGAUUAGCCGGUUGGUGAGGUAACGGCUCACCAAAGCAACGAUCAGUAGCUGGUCUGAGAGGACGACCAGCCACACUGGGACUGAGACACGGCCCAGACUCCUACGGAAGGCAGCAG